UACGUAGGGGGCAAGCGUUGUCCGGAUUUACUGGGCGUAAAGAGCGUGUAGGCGGCCAUACAGGUCCGUUGUGAAAACUGGAGGCUCAACCUCCAGCUGUCGACGGAAACCGUGUGGCUAGAGUCCGGAAGAGGAGAGUGGAAUUCCUGGUGUAGCGGUGAAAUGCGCAGAUAUCAGGAAGAACACCAAUGGCGAAGGCAGCUCUCUGGGACGGUACUGACGCUGAGACGCGAAAGCGUUGGGGAGCG
rnacentral:rRNA from 1 species